rnacentral:rRNA from 1 species
GCAAGUCGAGCGGACAGAUGGGAGCUUGCUCCCUGAUGUUAGCGGCGGACGGGUGAGUAACACGUGGGUAACCUGCCUGUAAGACUGGGAUAACUCCGGGAAACCGGGGCUAAUACCGGAUGGUUGUUUGAACCGCAUGGUUCAGACAUAAAAGGUGGCUUCGGCUACCACUUACAGAUGGACCCGCGGCGCAUUAGCUAGUUGGUGAGGUAACGGCUCACCAAGGCGACGAUGCGUAGCCGACCUGAGAGGGUGAUCGGCCACACUGGGACUGAGACACGGCCCAGACUCCUACGGGAGGCAGCAGUAGGGAAUCUUCCGCAAUGGACGAAAGUCUGACGGAGCAACGCCGCGUGAGUGAUGAAGGUUUUCGGAUCGUAAAGCUCUGUUGUUAGGGAAGAACAAGUGCCGUUCAAAUAGGGCGGCACCUUGACGGUACCUAACCAGAAAGCCACGGCUAACUACGUGCCAGCAGCCGCGGUAAUACGUAGGUGGCAAGCGUUGUCCGGAAUUAUUGGGCGUAAAGGGCUCGCAGGCGGUUUCUUAAGUCUGAUGUGAAAGCCCCCGGCUCACCCGGGGAGGGGCAUUGGAAACUGGGGAACUUGAAUGCGGAGGAGGAA